AAAGUUGUUGCAGUUAAAAAGCUCGUAGUUGGAUUUCGGGACGGCACGGUCGGUCCGCCGCAAGGUGUGUCACUGGCCGGGCUGUUCUUCCUCGCAAAGACUGCGUGUGCUCUUAGCUGAGUGUGCGCAGGACUUGCGACGUUUACUUUGAAAAAAUUAGAGUGUUCAAAGCAGGCCAUCGCUUGAAUACAUAAGCAUGGAAUAAUGGAAUAGGACUUUGGUUCUAUUUUGUUGGUUUCUGGAACCGAAGUAAUGAUUAAGAGGGACAGUUGGGGGCAUUCGUAUUUCGUUGUCAGAGGUGAGAUUCUUGGAUUUACGAAAGACGAACUACUGCGAAAGCAUUUGCCAAGAAUGUUUUCAUUAAUCAAGAACGAAAGUUAGAGGAUCGAAGACGAUCAGAUACCGUCCUAGUUCUAACCAUAAACGAUGCCGACUAGGGAUCAGAGAGUGUUAUUGGAUGACCUCUUUGGCACCUUAUGGGAAACCAAAGUUUUUGGGUUCCG
rnacentral:rRNA from 1 species